rnacentral:rRNA from 1 species
UUGACCUCGGAUCAGGUAGGAUUACCCGCUGAACUUAAGCAUAUCAAUAAGCGGAGGAAAAGAAACCAACAGGGAUUGCCCCAGUAACGGCGAGUGAAGCGGCAACAGCUCAAAUUUGAAA